rnacentral:lncRNA from 1 species
UCACGUUCGGCGCUCGAUCGCGCUGUAUGAGACAGGAAAACAUAGCAUGCAGACAUUAGCGACAGCUCUUACAGGCGGAAAAGGCUUGCCAAAAGAAAAAAAAAAAACACACCACAACAUCUCUCCUAUUGGUGGAAAACUUCACCACAACAACCAAUCCAAAAUUAUAUGGUGACUGAUUGACAAGGGGCGGGCGCUUACGUUCAUCCUGCAACAUGAGAAGCGAGGGAGGGACUCUCAGCAGGGAUGCAGUCUGGGACACGUAGUUGCAAACCUAGCGACUUUGUUGUUAGAUUCAAUGACUUUUCAGACCCCCCUUACGACUUUUUUUUUAGAAAGAAAGGGAAUUUUAUCGACUUCUUCUGGAGUUUAGAGACUCUGAAAUGAAGCAGGCUUUCCUUACUGAGGAGUUGGCAACGCUGCUAAGGGUGCAGAGCCACACAUGCGCUCCGAGCUCUGCAUGGGAGACUGAAGCUGACAGAGCUGCAGCAGUUAGCAGGUUUCACCCUCAGAGACCACCAGGGGUUCAUGUUGAGGCAUUUUCAGUUUUUUUUUUUUUUUUUGUGCCAUAGACACUGUCAGCACAAUCUGCAGCUACACUAACAAAAAUGCUGCAAAAAACAAAGAAUUAUGGAAAAAUUACACAUGGACUGACAUAGAGGAGGAUCUACACAAGUUUUUUACAUCAUGUUUUACAUCAUGCAUCAUUUACAUCAUGUUUUUUUGUAGUGGCAUAAAUAAAAAGUGACAUUUGUGAGACUAUACAGUGUUUUGUAAAUAAUUUUACAAAGAACGCCUGGGCCAUUGCCUGCAUUUUGAUGUAAAUAGAGGUAAAUCACUAUGUUCUUUGUUAAAAAUUUGCAUAUGUUUUGAAGUUUACAAUUUUUAUUUGAAGUUUAAGUUUUAAAAACAGUUCAUCACACAUAUUUGUGGUUUUCACAGUAAAAAUGUUACUUUUUUCCACUCGGAUUUUAUGUUUUGUGUGUGAAUUUGGGUCCAUUGUGUAAAUUCAGUAUGUCAACAUGAUAAAAUAACUGUAAAUUCGCACAGGUGAGGUUGUGCUGAAAAAAAUGAUACCAGGCAAGGCACGUGAUUGUCAAAUUUUGUGUCAAUAUGACAAAGCGUAUAGGCGUGAAUCUCAACAAUAUGUAUUUUCACCUUAGGGGAAAAGAAAAAAUGGACUUUUUUCUCCUGCCAUGGGGGGGCGCUCUUUUGGGGAGUAAAAAUUCCUUCACAAAUGUGUUGAUGGCUGGACAUUGCAUCAUCCUAGAAAACUUGGAGGCCAGUGAGGACAAAAAUAAAAAGUUAUAAGACUUUUAAAUAUGUGGAUUUUAGGGUUAUCUUUGGCGCCCCCUAGAACCUAAACCGUGGGGUGCAGCGUCAUGAUUUAAAUAACUUUUAAUGGCCAUGGGGUGUAGAUUGGCCUGAGCAAAUGUGGUGCCGGUGGAACGAAAGCCUUAGGAGGAGUUAGCCACAUUCCAAUGUGUGCGGAUCGGCAAAAAAUGCGGAAUAACCCUUUAACCGUACAUUUGACAGAUACGCGCGCGUUGACUUUUUCGUAGAUCUUAUUGAGUUACAUGUGUGUGUCAAUUUUUGUGUCAUUUUGACAAAGCGUAUAGGCGUGACACUCAACAAUGUGUAUUUUCACCUUAGGGGACAAGAAAAAAUGGACUUUUUUCUCCUGCCAUGGGGGGGGCGCUCUUUUGGGGAGUAAAAAUUCCUUCACAAAUGUGUUGAUGGCUGGACAUUGCAUCAUCCUAGAAAACUUGGAGGCCAGGGAGGACAAAAAUAAAAAGUUAUAAGACUUUUAAAUAUGUGGAUUUUAGUGUUAUCUUUGGCGCCCCCUAGAACCUAAACCUUGGGGUGCAGCGUCAUGAUUUUGAUAACUUUUAAUGGCCAAGGGGUGUAGAUUGGCCUGAGCAAAUGUGGUGCCGGUGGAACGAAAGCCUUCGGAGGAGUUAGCGAAAUUCCAAUGUGUGCGGAUCGGCAAAAAAUGCGAAAUAACCCUUCAACCGUAAUUUUGACAGAUACGGCCGCACUGACUUUUUUGUAGAUCUUAUUGAGAUAGAUAUGUGUGUCAAUUUUUGUGUCAAUAUGACAAAGCGUACAGGCGUGACAGUCAAUAGUGUGAAUUUCCACCUUAGGGGGCGCUAUGGAGCCAUUUUACAUUUUAUUGUUUGGGCGACUUCAGAAUAUCGAAUUUUUCACCAGGCCCGGUCGUCCUGCCAAAUUUUAUGAGUUUUCGCCAGUGGGAAGUGGGCCAUUUUCCAGUUCAAAGGGGAGGAAAAAGAAGAAAGAAAGAAAGAACUAGGGCCCCGUUGGGGCACUGGCGGGCCCGAGCCGUGUCACGCCGCCCCCAGCGCGACCGCCUCCCCCACCCGAUCGCGUCACACUCAAGGUCCAAAGAUGGUGUGCGCACUUGUUUGUGGUCAUUUACCAUUAUAAUGAACGGGAGGCGCAGUUUCUACCAAAACGCUCGCUGCAGAAAAACUCCAUGUCCUAUUUGAAAAAAGUCUGGACCAUGAGUGAGGGCACAAACACAGCUAAGAUAUAUCCAAAUGGCAAGUUGCUCCUCCUUUCGCUUUUGCCGAAAGAGCAGUGCGUUUGAGCCAUUGAAUGAUGAACAGGAAAAACUUGACUUUAUUCUCCUGGCCAUGGGGGGGCGCUCUUUUAAAGAGAAAAAACUCCUUCACAAAUGUGUUGAUGGCUGGACAUUGCAUCAUCCUAGAAAACAUGGAGGCCAGUGAGGACAAAAAUAAAAAGUUAUAAGACUUUUAAAUAUGUGGAUUUUAGGGUUAUAUUUGGCGCCCCCUAGAACCUAAACCGUGGGGUGCAGCGUCAUGAUUUGAAUAACUUUUAAUGGCCAUGGGGUGUAGAUUGGCCUGAGCAAAUGUGGUGCCGGUGGAACGAAAGCCUUCGGAGGAAUUAGCGAAAUUCCAAUGUGUGCGAAUCUGCAAAAAAUGCGAAAUAACCCUUUAACCGUACAUUUUACAGAUACGUGGCCAUUGACUUUUUCGAAGAUCUUAUUGAAAUACACGUGUAUGUAAAAUUUUGUGUCAAUACGACAAAACAUAAAGGCGUAGCACUCAACAAUGUGUAUUUUCACCUUAGUGGACAAGAAAAAAUUGACUUUUUUCUCCUGCCAUGGGGGGGCGCUCUUUUGCCGAGUAAAAAUUCCUUCACAAAUGUGUUGAUGGCUGGACAUUGCAUCAUCCUAGAAAACUUGGAGGCCAGUGAGGGCAAAAAUAAAAAGUUAUAAGACUUUUAAAUAUGUGGAUCUUAGGGUUAUCUUUGGCUCCCCCUAGAACCUAAACCGUGGGGUGCAGCGUCAUGAUUUGAAUAACUUUUAAUGGCCAUGGGGUGUAGAUUGGCCUGAGCAAAUGUGGUGCCGGUGGAACGAAAGCCUUCGGAGGAGUUAGCGAAAUUCCAAUGUGUGCGGAUCGGCAAAAAAUGCGGAAUAACCCUUUAACCGUACAUUUGACAGAUACGCGCGCAUUGACUUUUUCGUAGAUCUUAUUGAGAUACAUGUGUGUGUCAAUUUUUGUGUCAUUUUGCCAAAGCGUACAGGUGUUACACUCAACAAUGUGUAUUUUCACCUUAGGGGACAAGAAAAAAUGGACUUUUUUCUCCUGCCAUGGGGGGGCGCUCUUUUGGGGAGUAAAAAUUCCUUCACAAAUGUGUUGAUGGCUGGACAUUGCAUCAUCCUAGAAAACUUGGAGGCCAGUGAGGGCAAAAAUAAAAAGUUAUAAGACUUUUAAAUAUGUGGAUCUUAGGGUUAUCUUUGGCGCCCCCUAGAACCUAAACCGUGGGGUGCAGCGUCAUGAUUUGAAUAACUUUUAAUGGCCAUGGGGUGUAGAUUGGCCUGAGCAAAUGUGGUGCCGGUGGAACGAAAGCCUUCGGAGGAGUUAGCGAAAUUCCAAUGUGUGCGGAUCGGCAAAAAAUGCCAAAUAACCCUUUAACCGUACAUUUGACAGAUACGCCCGCACUGACUUUUUUGUAGAUCUUAUUGAGAUACAUGUGUGUGUCAAUUUUUGUGUCAUUUUGACAAAGCGUACAGGCGUGACAGUGAAUAGUGUGAAUUUUCACCUUAGGGGGCGCUAUGGAGCCAUUUUGCAUUUUCUUGUUUGGGCGACUUCGGAAUAUCAAAUUUUUCACCAGGCCCGGUCGUCCUGCCAAAUUUCAUGAGUUUUCGCCAGUGGGAAGUGGGCCAUUUUCCAGUUCAAAGGGGAGGAAAAAUAAUAAUAAUAAUAACAAAAGAAGGAAACUACAGGAACAAGAGGGCUCUCGCAGCUGCUUAGCAGCUACGCUCGGGCCCUAACUAGGGCCCCGUUGGGGCACUGGCGGGCCCGAGCCGCGUCGCGCCGCCCCCAGCGCGACCGCCUCCCCGUCCCAUUCGUGCCCUCUGGCCAUCGCCCUCUCUGGUGACGCCCAUCACUGCAAAGACCCUUUUCCUUCAUCUGUGUUUGCUGUUCUUCCUGCCAUUGCGUGUUGCUUUCACUUACACUUGCCACAGCCAGCCUCGUGAGUGCCUGGCCUGGUUUGACCUUUGCUCACCAUGAUUGUGUGACCUUGGUAUCAGCUACUUGGGAAGUUCAACCGUUGUGGCAAAGCUUUGUUUGCGUGCUGUGCUCAACCACCUAUUUUCUAUGGAUGUGUAAGUAAACCACUUUCUUUCUUACACAAUGACACACUCAUACUUAUCACUCACUGCUACUGAUGUGCUCUGUUAGUAUGCAUGCAGGAAACCUGAUGAAUGAAGAAAUGCCCAGACUAGCCAACAUCUCAAUAAAUUAUGAGGUAUGACAUCACUUGAAUGGUUUCCUUGGACUAUGCUUCCAUUAUUCUAAUUCUGUAAUAAAAAGAAAUUUUGUCCAAAAGGACUGUUGUUGUUUUUUCUUCUAAUAAUUAACAUAUUUAACAUAAUUAACAUUCAAUAUGCGCUCAUUACACACGUGCACACUCUUUGAUGAUCUGAGAAGCAGAGCUUAAAGGACAGUAGGAGUAGCUGAACAAAGUGUAUUUGUAGGAAAGCCGUAAGAGCUAUUGAAACGCCGUUUUCGCGGGUUGAAAGGUUAGGGUGUCCACCAAAGGUCAGAGGUCAAAUAACAUUUGUAUCUCAAACUGUGACGUCAAAGUCAAGGUCCAAAGAUGGUGUGCGCACCUGUCUUUGGUCAUUUCCCAUUAUAAUGAAUGGGAGGCACAGUUUCUACCAAAACGCUCGCUGCAGACAAACUACAUGUCCUAUUUGAAAAAACUCUGGACCAUGAGUGAGGGCACAAACACAGCUAGGACAUAUCCAAAUGGCAAGUUGCUCCUCCUUUUGGUUUUAGCGGGAGAGCAAUGCGUUUGAGCCAUUAAGCGAUGGGCUGGAAAAACUUGACUUUUUCUCCUGCCAUGGGGGGGGGGGGGGCGCUCUUUUGGGGAGAAAAAAUUCCUUCACAGAUGUGUUGAUGGCUGCACAUUGCAUCAUCCUAGAAAACUUGGAGGCCAGUGAGGACAAAAAUAAAAAGUUAUAAGACUUUUAAAAAUGUGGAUAUUUGGGUCAUCUUUGGCGCCCCCUAGAACCUAAACCGUGGGGUGCAGCGUCAUGAUUUGUACAACUUUGAAUGGCCAUGGGGUGUAGAUUGGCCUGAGCAAAUUUGGUGUCAGUAGAACGAAAGCCUUAGGAGGAGUUAGCCACAUUCCAAUGUGUGCGAAUCGGCAAAAAAUGCAAGAUAGCCCUUUAACCGUACAUUUUACAGAUAUGUGCCCAUUGACUUUUUCGUAGAUCUUAUUGAGAUACACGUGUGUGUCAAAUUUUGUGUCAAUAUGACAAAGCGUAUAGGCGUGACACUGAACAAUGUGUAUUUUCACCUUAGGGGACAAGAAAAAAUGGACUUUUUUCUCCUGCCAUGUGGGGGCGCUCUUUAGGGGAGUAAAAAUUCCUUUACAAAUGUGUUGAUGGCUGGACAUUGCAUCAUCCUAGAAAACUUGGAGGCCAGUGAGGAAAAAAAUAAAAAGUUAUAAGACUUUUAAGAAUGUGGAUUUUUUGGUUAUCUUUGGCGCCCCCUAGAACCUAAACCGUGGGGUGCAGCGUCAUGAUUUGUACAACUUUCGAUGGCCAUGGGGUGUAGAUUGGCCUGAGCAAAUGUGGUGCCGGUGGAACGAAAGCCUUCGGAGGAGUUAGCGAAAUUUCAAUGUGUGCGGAUCGGCAAAAAAUGCGAAAUAACCCUUUAACCGUACAUUUGACAGAUACGCCCGCACUGACUUUUUUGUAGAUCUUAUUGAGAUACAUGUGUGUGUCAAUUUUUAUGUCAAUAUGACAAAGCGUACAGGCGUGACAGUCAACAGUGUGAAUUUCCACCUUAGGGGGCGCUAUGGAGCCAUUUUGCAUUUUAUUGUUUGGGCGACUUCAGAAUAUCGAAUUUUUCACCAGGCCCGGUCGUCCUGCCAAAUUUCAUGAGUUUUCGCCAGUGGGAAGUGGGCCAUUUUCCAGUUUAAAGCGGAGGAAAAAUAAUAAUAAUAAUAAUAACUAGGGCCCCGUUGGGGCACUGGCGGGCCCGAGCCGUGUCGCGCCGCCCCCAGCGCGACCGCCUACCCCUCUUGAUCGCGUCACACUCAAGGUCCAAAGAUGGUGUGCGCACUUGUCUGUGGUCAUUUACCAUUAUAAUGAAUGGGAGGCGCAGUUUCUACCAAAACGCUCGCUGCAGACAAACUCCAUGUCCUUUUUGAAAAAAGUCUGGACCAUGAGCGAGGGCACAAACACAGCUAGUAUAUAUCCAAAUGGCAAGUUGCUCCUCCUUUCGGUUUUGCCGAGAGAGCGAUGCUUUUGAGCCAUUGAGCGAUGGGCAGGAAAAACUUGACUUUUUCUCCUGCCAUGGGGGGGCGCUCUUUUGGGGAGAAAAAAUUCCUUCACAAAUGUGUUGAUGGCUGGACAUUGCAUCAUCCUAGAAAACUUGGAGGCCAGUGAGGACAAAAAUAAAAAGUUAUAAGACUUUUAAAAAUGUGGAUAUUUGGGUCGUCUUUGGCACCCCCUAGAACGUAAACCGUGGGGUGCAGCGUCAUGAUUUGUACAACUUUGAAUGGCCAUGGGGUGUAGAUUGACCUGAGCAAAUUUGAAGCCGAUGGGACAAAAGCUUUAGGAGGAGUUAGCCACAUUCCAAUGUGUGCGAAUCGGCAAAAAAUGCAAAAUAGCCCUUUAACCGUACAUUGAACAGAUACGCUCGCAUUGACUUUUUCGUAGAUCUUAUUGAGAUACAUGUGUGUGUCAAAUUUUGUGUCAUUUUGACAAAGCGUAAAGGCGUGACAAUCAACAAUGUGUAUUUUCGCCUUAGGAGACAAGAAAAAAUGGACUUUUUUCUCCUGCCAUGGGGGGGCGCUCUUUUGGCGAGUAAAAAUUCCUUCACAAAUGUGUUGAUGGCUGGACAUUGCAUCAUCCUAGAGAACUUGGAGGCCAGUGAGGACAAAAAUAAAAAGUUAUAAGACUUUUAAGACUGUGGAUUUUUGGGUUAUCUUUGGCGCCCCCUAGAACGUAAACCGUGGGGUGCAGUGUCAUGAUUUGUACAACUUUUAAUGGCCAUGGGGUGUAGAUUGGCCUGAGCAAAUGUGGUGCCGUUGGAACGAAAGCCUUCAGAGGAGUUAGCGAAAUUCCAAUGUGUGCGGAUCGGCAAAAAAUGCGAAAUAACCCUUUAACCGUACAUGUGACAGAUACGCCCGCACUGACUUUUUUGUAGAUCUUAUUGAGAUACAUGUGUGUGUCAAAUUUUGUGUCAUUUUGACAAAGCGUAAAGGCGUGACAGUCAACGAUGUGUAUUUUCGCCUUAGGAGACAAGAAAAAAUGGACAUUUUUCUCCUGCCAUGGGGGGGCGCUCUUUUGGCGAGUAAAAAUUCCUUCACAAAUGUGUUGAUGGCUGGACAUUGCAUCAUCCUAGAGAACUUGGAGGCCAGUGAGGACAAAAAUAAAAAGUUAUAAGACUUUUAAGACUGUGGAUUUUUGGGUUAUCUUUGGCGCCCCCUAGAACGUAAACCGUGGGGUGCAGCGUCAUGAUUUGUACAACUUUUAUUGGCCAUGGGGUGUAGAUUGGCCUGAGCAAAUGUGGUGCCGGUGGAAGGAAAACCUUCGGAGGAGUUAGCGAAAUUCCAAUGUGUGCGGAUCGGCAAAAAAUGCGAAAUAAACCUUUAACCGUACAUUUGACAGAUACGCCCGCACUGACUUUUUUGUAGAUCUUAUUGAGAUACACGUGUGUGUCAAAUUUUGUGUCAUUUUGACAAAGCGUACAGGCGUGACACUCAAUCAUGUGAAUUUUUCACCUUAGGGGGCGCUAUGGAGCCAUUUUGCAUUUGAUUUUUUGGGCGACUUCAGAAUAUCGAAUUUUUCACCAGGCCCGGUCGUCCUGCCAAAUUUCAUGACUUUUCACCAGUGGGAAGUGGGCCAUUUUCCAGUUCAAAGGGGCAGAAAAAUAAUAAGAAGAAGAAGAAGAAGAAAGAAGAAUCCAUCAGGAAUAAUAGGGCUCUCGCAGCUGCUUAGCAGCUACGCUCGGGCCCUAAUAACAAAAGAAGAAUCCAUCAGGAACAAGAGGGCUCUCGCAGCUGCUUAGCAGCUACGCUCGGGCCCUAACUAGGGCCCCGUUGGGGCACUGGCGGGCCCGAGCCGUGUCGCACCCCCCCCCCCCCCAACGCGCUGCCUCCCCGUCCCAUUCGUGUCCUCUGGCCAUCGCCCUCUCUGGUAACGCCCAUCACUGCAAAGACCCUUUUCCUUCAUCGGCGUUUGCUGUUCUUCCUGCCAGUGCGUGUUGCUUUAACUUACACUUGCCACAGCCAGCCUCGUGAGUGCCUAGCCUAUUGGAUAUCACUGUCACCUACACAGGACAGUCAUACUUUGUUUUUUAAUUUCACAUUAAUUUCCAUAUUGUAUAAACGACUGGAAAAAACUUGAGCCCCUGCCCCUGUAUUAUCAUGUGCACGUCCCUGUUCUAGCUCCAAGGUGAAUCUUCAGUGCUCAUGUUCUCCUCAGAAGCAGUCACCUCACUCCCCUCAGGUUACUGUACACAUGCACCAACUGCCUGCUUCAGGUUUGGAUGGAGCUUCAUGGUUGUCUUUUGGAGAAAUGACCAGUCAAGUUGUGUUUGAAAUCUGAUUUUUUUCAGGGGCAAAAGGAAGCCUCCGCAUUCUUGUCAAAUAUGUAAAUAGCAUGUUUUUGCAGGUGCUAAAAAACAGACUCUGAGUGUGUGUGUGUGUGUGUGUGUGUGUGUGUGUGUGUGUGUGUGUGUGUGUGCGUGUGUGUGUGUGUGUGUCUGUGUGUGUGUGUGUGUGUGUAUCCUGCAGUACUCUGAGAAGAAUAAUAAGCAUAUUUCUGAGGUGAAUUUUGAAGAUUCAUCUGAGAGUUAGGUUUGAUUCGAUUCGAUUGACGCUCCCCAGCGUUCAAGUCACAUGACAUAUUUAACCGGAUGUAGCUGCAAGACGGAGCCUCGUUAACUCUCCGUUUCAACUUAUCUCAAAAGUGAGGACCUCAACCUAUAUACCAGUUUUUAAAUUGUGUUGAUAGGCCAAAUAAAACCAGAGUUAUGAUAAAUUAUGUCCGCGAUACUUUUUUUCUGCUUAUUUUGAUCACGUUCGGCGCUCGAUCGUGCUGUAUGAGACAGGAAAACAUUGCAUGCACACAUUAGUGACAGGUCAUACAGGCGGAAAAGGCUUGCCAAAAGAAAAAAAAACACACCACAACAUCUCUCCUAUUGGUGGAAAACUUCACCACAACAACCAAUCCAAAAUUAUAUGGUGACUGAUUGACAAGGGGCGGGCGCUUACGUUCUUCCUGCAACAUGAGAAGGGAGGGAGGGACUCUCAGCAGGGAUGCAGUCUGGGACACGUAGUUGCAAACCUAGCGACUUUGUUGUU